rnacentral:rRNA from 1 species
UACAGAGGGGGCCAGCGUUAUUCGGAAUUAUUGGGCGUAAAGGGCGCGUAGGCGGCUUUGCGUGUCUUUCGUGAAAUCCCUCGGCUCAACUGAGGACGUGCGGAAGAAACUGCAGGGCUGGAGUCCGGGAGAGGAGGGUGGAAUUCCCAGUGUAGCGGUGAAAUGCGUAGAUAUUGGGAGGAACACCGGUGGCGAAGGCGGCCCCCUGGACCGGUACUGACGCUGAGGUGCGAAAGCCAGGGGAGCAAACGGG